UGAAAGUUUACGUAAAUUUGUGCUAUAAGAACUUUUUAGAACUUCGUAAUGAAAUCCUGCUACUCCAUCGCUGAUUCAGAAUGUCAUUUACCAGAGUACCCUGUUCUAUCUUCUUCCUCUUCUGACCCUUUGUUGAUUCUGUUUCGCAUUCCCAGUCCCAAAUUUGUAGCUCCGUUUCUCUCCUGGGAAAUGAAGAAAGGGAUCAGAAAAUUCUUCAGCUUUCUCUGCGGACUGUAGUAUCUGAAGCAGUUCGAUUCGAUGCUCACGCCCGCUGCAGAACCCAACAGUAGUGAACUGUCGCAUGGCCCCAGCUCUGGAGGUGCAGAACGUGUCCCUAUAAUUGAAACAAAGUGUACAUGUCUUACAGUAGGGUUCUUAAGGGUUAGCAGCAGGAGGGAGGAAUAACAACAUGUAGCAUCUGUCAACUAACAGCAGGUGACCAUUCUGGGUGGAAGGAUUUAACAUAGGCAGCAGCACCUGCAGCAUGAGGACAAGCCAUGGAUGUCCCUGAUAAUAUGUUGAAUGGAGCAAAGCGAUUAUCCCCCUCCAGUCGCAAGCAGACUGUGAUGAUCAUCCAUGACAGAAACUCCAGCCUCUGGCAACUCUCCCAUAUACACAAUGUAGGACUGUUGAAAGAAAGUAGAUAUUUAUAACUGAUCACUAUGGGAAACUUAGCAGGUUUGUGAGUGUAUACAAACAAAUAUCCAAGAAUGUUAAGUUUCUGCAAAUAAGCAAAACUUUCAUGAAAAGAAACACACACGUACAAACAGAAACGUAAUGAAAUGCACAUAUUUUAUGCAUGUAUCUGUGUAUAUAUGUAUACCUUUCUUUGGUCAUCAGGACUGUUGCUUAAUCCAUGAGAAAAUAAAGUCAAUAGACAAAGACUGAAGAUAAAGAAAGCUGGUAGAGAUAGAUUGUUGGCCAGCUUCAUCUUGUUGCUCGUUGAGUGAAGGAAGAAGGUGGUGAUGGUUUUGGUAUAAAUAGAAAACGAGGGAAGUCGUGCUUUGAAGUGCUCCUUCCAUUUUGGAAGAGAUGUUUAUGAUGUGAGAGAUACUUGGCUUGGAUUCAGUUGAGUUGUUCUACUAACUACUAGUUUAUUCCAAAGAUUUUAUCUACUUACAGAUUAGUGUAUAUCCUUUUUUGUUACAUCAGAUCCUUGAAUUAUCCAAAGUAUCUCAUUUUAGAAUCAUUUCUUGAAAUAUUUUUUGGAAAUUUUAA